GUGAGAAUCUCUCAACGGAUCUUUUUCUUUUUAAUCUGCCUCUGCCCUCCCUCUCUUGUGUUCACCUAUAUACUUCUUCUGCUACAGAAAAAGCCUCUUCUUUGUCAAAUUUCUCCCUUGUAAAGCUUUAAGUCUUUGGUUUCCUUAUUGGGUAACUUUCUUUUUCUUGUUCUUUGCGGCCUAACCUCACUUUUCAAGCUAGUUCCUGGGUUUUUUUUUCUAGGGUUUUAGAGUGAAAUGUUCUUUUGUAUCAUUUCUUUCUAUUGUAGCAGAAACAAUUUUGUUCUAAAAUGAGUUUGGUUUUUUCUUGAAUAAGAUAUAUAUUUAUUUUUUUUUUUCCUUUUCUUGCAAUAGGGUUCUUGUCUCUUGAGCUUUUCUAAAAUAUUCUCAAACUCUUGGCCUUUUCUACCUUCUUUUUUAAGCCACACAAAUUUUUUUUCCUUAGUGUGUACUUUUUUAGGGUUUAGGGUUUUGCUACUCUCCCAUGUUUCCCAAUUAUCACAUCAAAAAGUGAAUUUUCAGCUUUUCCUGCAAUUGGAUCUGAAAAUUUCUUCAUAAUUCCAUCUCAGUCUUCAACUUUGAGCUCAAUUCAGGAAUGGGUUUCCUCCUCCAAAUUCUGGGUUUUCUUUGAAAUCUUCAAAUCACAAAAUCCAUUUUCCUUCCGAGAACUAUGUCUUCUCCUUGUUUAAGUGGAGGUAGUAGAACCUAUGGGUUCGAUU
rnacentral:misc_RNA from 1 species